UGUGAGCCCUAUAUAAUUGCUGAAAUCGGUAUUUUUUCAUUGAAGCUAGUUUGGCAUAAUGGGUUUAUUGUUAUGCUCUACAUUUGUAUCUAACACCUAUGAUGGAAAUUAUCUUUCAAAAUCACAUUUGCAUGACAUUUGGUUGCUUUGAUAUCAUCUGCAUGGCUUUUACAGUUCAAAAGUUUUAAUUUUUUUUUAAAGUUUGCAGCUGUCUUUACUUCUGCAUUUUUUAAGGAGAGAAGAAUUUGGAGUGUGAUGGAAGAUCCUUCCUUGGAGUCUAUCAAAAAGAAGCUGGAUGGCCAUCUGUCAGAGAGUUACACUAACAGUCAUCUUCUAACUCAAUUCCAUUUUGAUCUGCGGAGUCUUUCCUCCUUUUCUGCAGAAAUAUAUUGGAAGCUUCUGAAAUAUAUGGAUUUCUGAGGCAAGGCUAAACAUGCCCAGCUCUUUAAGCCGCUCCUCAUAGGGCUUGUUCUCCAGACCCCUGAUCAUUUUCGUUGUCCUCCUAUGGACACUUUCCAGCUUGUC